rnacentral:lncRNA from 1 species
AAGAGGAUUAAAGUAAAAUCAAGUUUAUUCUUAGACCAUGAUAUAAUUAAAUUGUUAAUCAAUAACAAUAUGAUCUCUGGACAAAUCUCAAACAUUAAGAAACUAACUGGAAAAAAUAAAGAAACUAACUGGAGCAUUUUAAAUAACAAGUCAAAGAAAUCGAAGGGAAAUUAGAUAUUUUAAUUAAUGUCUUAAUUAACCUAGAGGGAUAUUCAUAAUGUCAAAUGUCUAUAUUAGAAAAGAAUUAAAGUCUCAAGUCAAUGACUUCAGCUUCCACUUUAAGAAAUAAUUGUUUUUACUUUUAUUAUUUUAGAAAGAUUUUAUUUAUUUAUUUUAGAGAACAUGUGAGUGGGGGGAGGGGUAGAGAGAGAGGGAGAGAGAGAAUCCCAAGCAGAUUCCCCAUUGAAUGUGCAGCUCUAUAUGAGGCUUGAUCUCAUGACCCUGAGAUCAUGAUCUGAGCUGUAAUCAAGAGUUGGUCACUUAACCCACUGAGCCACCUAGGAGCCCCAAGAAAUUAUUUUUUUAAAGACCAAAUUAAACUAAAGUAAGCAGAAGAAAGGAUAUAAUAAAGAGCAGAGCAGAGAUCAAUGAAAUAAAAAACAGAAAAACAAUAGAGAAAAUCAAUAAAAUGAAAAGCUGGUUCUUUCAGAUGAUUAAUUAAAUUGAUAAUUCUCUUGCCAGAUUGUUAAGGGGGAAUAAAAAGAAGACACAAAUUGCCAAUAUCAAGAAUGAGCAAAGUAACAUCACUCUAGAGUCUAUAGAUAUUAAAAUUAUAAUAAAGGAAUGCUAUAAACAACUUUAUUCUAAUAAGUUCAACAACUUAGAUGAAAUGAACACAUUCCUUGAAAGACACAAACUAUCAAGAAAAUACAAAACUGGAGGAAAAAAACAGAUAAUCUGAAUAGUCCUCUAUCUAUUAAAGAAAUAAACUUGUAGUUAAAAAACAUUCCCAUAAGGAAAACUCAAGGUCCAAAUGGCUUGGCUAAUGAAUCAAACCAAACAUUUAAAGAAGAAAUCAUAUCAACCCUUUCAGAAAUUUAAAGAAGGAAUAUUUUCAAACAUUUCCAUUUUUUACUUAAAAAUAUGUAUAAUUUAAUCAAUACCCUCUCAUUAGCACAUAACAAGUACCUGGAGAUAACAGAGCUCUGAGGAAAUAACAAAGUUAAUUUUGAUGAAGGAGAAAGAAGUAGGAGGAGAUCCCAAGCAAAGGCCCCUGUUACAAAGAAGGAGAGAAGAGGAUGCUUGUAAGACAGGAGAGUCCAUCUCUCUAGAUGCUCUCAACAACCCAGGGGCAAAGAAACAUUUCUUAUAUUUAUAUUUCAUUGAAGUUGGCUUCUAUGCUGGAAAUCUCUACAAGUGAUAUUUCUUGCUAUCCUUAACAGCCACCCUCUGUUUUAGGAACACGACCAAGUACAGUACACCCCUGUCCAGGUUUUGAGUUUUUUCACCAAACAGGAGAGGCACAAGAUGAAGUAAGGGAAUCAAAAAAAAAAAAAACAUGAGAAGAAUCAGGUUAGAUUUACUCAAUGAUGUUACCCAUGUAGCAAGCUUUUCCAUUCUUUCUUCCAAAAAUGAUGUCUCUAAUCACCUUCUAGAAAGGGAGAAACAGGGAUCCCUGGGUGGCGCAGCGGUUUGGCGCCUGCCUUUGGCCCAGGGCGCGAUCCGGGAGACCCUGGAUCGAAUCCCACGUCGGGCUCCCGGUGCAUGGAGCCUGCUUCUCCCUCUGCCUGUGUCUCUGCCUCUCUCUCUCUCUCUGUGUGUGGCUAUC